CAGUCGCCGCGGGAAUACAGAGGGUGCGAGCGUUAAUCGGAUUUACUGGGCGUAAAGCGUGCGUAGGCGGCUUCUUAAGUCGGAUGUGAAAUCCCUGAGCUUAACUUAGGAAUUGCAUUCGAUACUGGGAAGCUAGAGUAUGGGAGAGGAUGGUAGAAUUCCAGGUGUAGCGGUGAAAUGCGUAGAGAUCUGGAGGAAUACCGAUGGCGAAGGCAGCCAUCUGGCCUAAUACUGACGCUGAGGUACGAAAGCAUGGAGAGCAAACAGGAUUAGAUACCCCUGUAGUCCCUGUCUCUUAUAC
rnacentral:rRNA from 1 species